AGAUCCUUAGGUUAUAAAAUAGACCUUAAGCCUUCAAAGCUUGUAGAGAAACCUGCUUUCAGGGUCUG
rnacentral:tRNA from 1 species